rnacentral:rRNA from 1 species
UAUAAAUGUAUUAUAUUAAAGCUAAAUUAGUAUUAGUUAUGUUCUUGAAAAUUAAAGAUUUUGGCGGUAUUUUAGUCUAUUCAGAGGAACCUGUUCUGUAAUUGAUAAUCCACGAUUUAAUUUACUUUUUUUAUUAGUUUACAUAUCGUCGUAAUUUGAAUAUUUUAUAAGAAUUUAAAUAUUCAAGAUGUAUUAGAAUAAAGUAAAUCAGAUCAAGGUGUAGUUUAUAAAAAAGAAGAAAUGGGUUACAAUAAAUAAAUUUAGGGAUUAUUAUUUUUAAAAUAAUAUGAAUUUGGAUUUGAGGGUAAUUUUAAUAAAUUCAUUAAUUUGAUUUUAGCUCUAAAAUAUGC